UUUCCCCCUUCUUUUAGGAGAAUCUACGUCCCGUGAGAACUAGCAUCAAGAAGGAGUUCACUAGGCAAAAUGUGGGCGCGAAGGGGAGAGAGGGCACAGCCCGGAGCUUGGGGAAAGCGUCGGUCACGACCUUCAUUCUCCUCUCCACGUUGCUUCUUAGACCAAGAGUGUUUCCUAGUCCCAAAUCUACGCGGUUUUUAGCAGAGCCCAGUGGUCUUAGGUCUUUGUCCUAAGGACCCUCCGUGAUGGCUCUGUAUAUGCCCACCUAGCUCAGUGUGUAGAGUGUGGAACUGUAAUAUCAGAGAGCCCGGCGUUUACUCUCCUAUCAGAAGAUGGGUAUUCUUUCCUCUCUCGAAGAUAUUUGUC
rnacentral:lncRNA from 1 species